rnacentral:rRNA from 1 species
GCUACCAUGCAGUCGACGAUGAAGCCCUGCUUGCAGGGUGGAUUAGUGGCGAACGGGUGAGUAACACGUGAGUAACCUGCCCCUGACUCUGGGAUAAGCCCGGGAAACUGGGUCUAAUACCGGAUAUGACUUCCUACUGCAUGGUGGGUUGUUGAAAGAUUUAUCGGUGGGGGAUGGACUCGCGGCCUAUCAGCUUGUUGGUGAGGUAAUGGCUCACCAAGGCGACGACGGGUAGCCGGCCUGAGAGGGUGACCGGCCACACUGGGACUGAGACACGGCCCAGACUCCUACGGGAGGCAGCAGUGGGGAAUAUUGCACAAUGGGCGGAAGCCUGAUGCAGCGACGCCGCGUGAGGGAUGACGGCCUUCGGGUUGUAAACCUCUUUCAGUAGGGAAGAAGCGAAAGUGACGGUACCUGCAGAAGAAGCGCCGGCUAACUACGUGCCAG